rnacentral:tRNA from 1 species
GGCCGGUUGGCCCAAUGGCAAGGCGUCUGACUACGAUGAAGUUGUUAUCAGGAGAUUCUGGGUUCGACCCCCAGGCUGGUCA